ensembl:lncRNA
GUCAAUAUCUGUAUCUCUGUCAUUUAGUAACAGUGGGAAAGUAUCAAAAUUUCCAUUGUUUUUGUUGUAAACUGCCAUUGAGACGAAAAACAAGUGCCUGCAGUCUGUGAGAGUUGUGCUCAUUUAAUAAAGGAAAAGCCAGAACAGCACCAAAAAACACCAUUAUCUAAAUAUAUUACAUUGCCACUUUUCCCUUUUGGUGAGUUAUGUAUACCAGAUGUUAUAUUGGACCCAUAACAAAUACAUAACGCACUUUCAUAACACACUACUUAACUUUGCUUUCACAACAUCACUAAGACAACUCGCAAACGUUCGACGCGUAAAAGGAAACCUAUCAUACAUGUAUCACAACAUCAAAAACAAAUACUCAACAUGAAAUGGUUAUCAAUAUGUUUUCGUAAUGCUCAGCUAGUUCUCACUGAAGGAAAACCAAUUCACUCGUGCAUACAUCUGCCGCAACCUAAAAAUAAUCGCAUUGCAUACAAUGCCUAUGGAUUGUAUACAGUUGAUUUACAUGUGCAAGAUAACUACUUGUGACCACCCAGUUUUAUAGAACAAACUUUGAGCAAGGCAAAACGUGCACUGAGACUUUUGAAACCCCUGUAUAAAGACCUGUGGAAAUUUUCUUUCAAACGGUUUCAUUGAAAUAAAAAAAUGGCACAAUCAUCUGUCAACAACAAAAUAUACUCUGUGCAGGUUAAAGUGAACAGUGAAUCUAACAUGCCACACACACAAAGAAACAGACACUCCUAAGUCUGUCACACAUUCCCUUUCAACCAAUGCAUCCUGCCUCCUCCACUGAAAACAAUAAGCACAAAUAAAAAUAAGCACAAGGAAAGUAUAUACAGAGCAGCGCAUUUUUGGAAACCAUAAAUGAUGAAUGGACUGCAUUCAUAGAGAGCUUUUCAACCGGUGGCCACUCAAAGCGCUUUACAAUAUCGCCUAACAUUCACCCACACAUUCACCCACCGAUGGCGGAGUCAGCCAGACAAGGAGACAGCCAGCUCAUCGGGUGCGGUCAGGGUGAGGUGUCUUGCUCAGGGACACCUCAACGCUCAGCUAGGAGGGACUAGGGAUCGAACUGGCAACCUUCCGGUUACAAGUCAACCCACUAUGUCUGCUAAGCCAAAUGCGGCCCAUAAAGGAAGAAUAAUGUGAACAGAAUGGCACCAACCAAAGUUAUUGUCACACGUGGGCCGCGAAAGGCGGUACACCAUCUCUUCUGCGGGGAAGAAUUGACUCGGUCCUCAAAUUGAGCUGUUGAUUGGUUGAACUUUUUUGGCUGCACAACUGUUUGAUCGUCUAAUUGGUGACAUGGCUCCUGGUCAGAGUCUGCCCCGUCCUUGUUGACGGUUUCCAGAUUCUUCUUCAUGGAGCGCUGUUGGGUCUGACGUAACCGUGGUGAUACACGCUGUUCAGUGAUUAAUCCAUUGUCCUUCGGCAUAAAGUUCAGAGUUGGAUCAGAGGACUGGGAAACAUGUGUUGUUUUGGCUGCGGGCAGUCGACUCUGUGUCAUGUGGGGUUCAUUAUUUUCUUUGAUGACUAUUUGGUGAAGGUGUUGCUUGGAAUAAUCCUGUGAAUUGAGAUCUCUCUGUGAUUCAUUGAAACCAACUGUGUCUACGAUGUUAACAAGGUCACAACUAUCCUCGUCAGUCACCAAAUCUUGCAUGAUGCCUUGAGAGGAAGUUGUCUGCAAUUGGGAAUCUUCUGGCAAAUUCGUGGCGGAAAAGACAUCAGGGAUCUGUUUCUCCGCCGUGACGGCUUGCGAUGCGCCACCACUUACUCCCUUCAUGUCUCCUGAGCCACCCAUGACACCUUUCCAAUUUAACACCUCCUCUGAAACUCCUUUAUCUGACUCCUCACCAAUUCCACCUGCGACAGUGCCAAUCUCCUCACCUGGCGCUAUCAUGCACUCAAACAACACUCUAUCCUCUGCGAUUACAGCGUCUUCCAUCCCCCCCUUGAAUUCCUCUGGUGAAGGGCCAUCCGCUCGGAGCGACACCUUUCGUCGCUUCCGUUCCUCAGGUGUUUGAUCCUUCUCCGUCCGACACCCCUCCGUGAUAGCCUCUGUUUGCCCCUCUUCCGUCCCUCGCUCCCCAUCUCCGUCCCCCACGUCAACUUCCGAGGUCUCAGGUGGUGGUCGAGGAUCCCUCGGAACGCCACUCGUCGUCGCCGGCGUCUCCUGGAAAAUGUCAUCGGGUGGUGUGAUGCCACCGACCGCGCGAUUGUCCCUUUCCUCGCACUUUAGAUAUAUAUCAGCCAAUUUCUUACACUUUGAGUCUGUUGCGUUUGAGUGUCUGGGUUGGUGAUCGUCUCUUCUCGUACCAGUUUCACCUUCAAGACCUUUUAAUGAAGGCUUGUAACUCAGAACAACUCCUUGUGUUUCCGCUGAUGUGCAUUUUAUCCGUGUGCUAUCUGUGUCCAUUACUCCAACAGACUCCUGUCUCAGGGGCGAUAGUUUAAUUUCGUUUUUCUCCCUAGCUCCUUCCUCUGUUGGACUUGAGGUCGAUAGCCCCGGUUCAGUGGAGAUUAGGUCCUUGGUCAACACCUCCAUGCCUGGGUUCUCACUCUGAAUGUGUUGCUCUUUAUCUUGCGCAAUCGGGUCUAACUGGUGGUCAGGUGCUUCUGAAUACAUCAACGUGAGGUCCUUGGUUUCCUUCCCCAGAUCUGUUUCCAAUGAGUCUGGCAGGAGAGAGUUUUCAUUGUUUGGCAGUGAAUCUCUUCCUUCUUUGGAACAGUUUGAAACAGAUUGAAACAGUUUGAUUUGUAGGCCCUCCCCCUCAUCUCUUUUUGUAGCCGUGUCAACUUCAAGACCUUUUAAUGAAGGGAUGUCGCUAGAAACCUCUCCUUGUGUUUGCACUGAUGUGUAUUUUAUCAGUGUGUUAUCUGUGUCUAUUACCCCACACGAUUCCUUUUUGAGGGGCGAUAGUUUUGUGUCGUUAUUCUCUGUAGCUCCUUCCUCUGUUGGACUUGAGGUUGAUAGCCCCGGUUCAAUGGAGAUCAGGUCCUUGGUCAACACCUCCAUGCCUGGGUUCUCACUCUGAAUGUGUUGCUCUUUAUCUUGUGCCAUCGGUUCUAACCGGUGGUCAGGUGCUUCUGAAUACAUCAACGUGAGGUCCUUGGUUUCCUUCCCCAGAUCUGUUUCCAAUGAGUCUGGUUGGAGAGAGUUUCCAUUGUUUGGCAGUGAAUCUCUUCCUUCUUUGACCUCUUGGUUAAGAUCCGCUUCAACACACUUCUGCCUCAAAGCACCGUCGUUACUCGUUCCAUGUUGUACACCGUCCACCUUUCUCCCUUUUCUCUGGAACGUGUCCUCUGCUGUGGUGUCACAGAGCGAUGACAUGUCAUUCGCAUUCACGUGGCUUUGUGUUGAUUUUGUAUAACACGCUCUCGACUCAUCCACCUCAAAUGCAUCCGUGUGCGGCGCUGCUUCUCCAUGAUGUGUUCCUUUGUGUUUUGAUGCGUGUGAGGACCCGGUUCUGUGAUCGUCCGUCUGAAACUGUUUGAUUCCUUCGCCAUCCCCAACGUCUCUUCCUGUACCUGUUUCAUCUUCAAGUCCUUUUAAUGAGGGCUUGUCGCUCAAAACCUCUGGCUGUGUUUGCACUGAUGUGUAUUUUAUCAGUGUGUUAUCUGUGUCUAUUACCCCACACGACUCCUGUUUGAGGGGCGAUAGUUUUGUGUCGUUAUUCUUGCUAGCUCGGUCCUCUGUUCUACUUGAGGUUGAUAGCCUCAGUUCAGUGGAGAUCAGGUCCUUGGUCAACACCUCCAUGCCUGGGUUCUCACCCUGAAUGCGUUGCUCUUUAUCUUGUGUAAUCGGGUCUAACCGGUGGUCAGGUGGUUGUGAAUACAACAAUGUGAGGUCCUUGGCUUCCAUCCCCAGAUCUGUUUCAAAUGAGUCUGCUUGGAGAGAGUUUUCAUUGUUUGGCGGUGAAUCUUCUUUAACCUCUUGGUUGAGAUCCACUUCAACACACUUCAGUCCCAAAGCACCGUCGUUACUUAUUCCAUGUUGUACACCGUCCACCUUCCUUUCUAUUCGGUGGAACGUGCCGUUUGUUCUGGUGUCACAGAGUGCUGACAUGUCAUGGUGUAAAGGCUUCGCAUUCACUUUGCUUUGUGUUGAUUUUAUAUCAUGCGCUCUCGACUCAUCCACCUCAAAUGCAUCUGUGCAUGGCGCUGCUUCUCCAUGAUACGUUCCUUUGGUUUUUAAUGUGUAUGAGGGGCCGGGUUUAUGAUCGUCCGUCUGAACGAGCUUGAUUUUUAGGCCUUCCCCCUCAUAUUUCUUUGUCGCCGUUUCAACUUCAAGACCAUUUAAUGAGGGCUUGUCGCUCAAAACCUCUCCUUGCAUUUGCGCUGGUGUGUAUUUUAUCUGUAUGUUAUCCGUGUCCAUCACUCGACCCAACUCCUGUUUGAGGGCUGAUAGUUUUGCGUCGCUGUUCUCUCUAGCUCCUUCCUCUGUUCGACGUGGCGUUAAUGACCCCGGUUCACUGGAGGUUGGAUCCUUGGUCAUCACCUCCUGAACUGAGUUCUUCACCUCACUCUGAACUUGUGGCUCUUUCUCUUUCGGGUCCAACCGGAGGUCAGGUGCUUCUGAAUACAUCAACGUGUGGUACUUCGCUUCCAUCAAAUCUGUUUCAAAUGAGUCUGGUAGGAGAGAGUUUCCAUUGUUUCGCGGUGAAUCUCUUCCUUCUUUGAGACACUUUGAACCAGUUUGAAAGAGUUUGAUUUCCAGGCCUUCCCCCUCAUCUCUUUUUGUAGCCGUCUCAACUUCAAGAUCUUUUAAUGAAGGGAUGUCGCUAGAAACCUCUCCUUGUGUUUGCACUGAUGUGCAUUUUAUCUGUAUGUUAUCUGUGUCCUUUACUACACACGACUCCUGUUUGAGGGGCAAUAGUUUUGCGUCGUAAUUCUUGCUAGAUCCUCCCUCUGUUGGACUUGAGGUUGAUGGCCUCAUUUCAGUGGAGAUCAGGUCCUUGGUCAACACCUCCAUGCCUGGGUUCUUGCUCUGAACGUGUGGCUCUUUAUCUUGUGCCAUCGGUUCUAACUGGCGGUCAGGUGCUUCUGAAUACAGCAACGUGAGGUCCUUGGUUUCCUUCCCCAGAUCUGUUUCCAAUGAGUCUGGUUGUAGAGAGUUUUCAUGGUUUGGCCGUGAAUCUCUUCCUUCUUUAACCUCUUGGUUAAGAUCCACUUCGACAGACUUCUGCCUCAAAACACCGUCGUUACUCGUUCCAUGUUGUACACCGUCCACCUUCCGCUCUUCUCUCUGGAACGUGUCCUCUGCUGUGGUGUCACAGAGUGCUGACAUGUCAUGGUCUGAAGGCUUCGCAUUCACGUGGCUUUGUGUUGAUUUUGUAUCACGCGCUCUCGACUCAUCCACCUCAAAUGCAUCUGUGUGUGGCGCUACUUCUCCAACAUGUGCUAUUUUGUGUUUUAAAUCGUGCGAGGGGCCGUGUUUGUAAUCUUCCAUUUGAAAUAAUUUCAUUUCUUCUCCUUUCCCCUCAUCUCUUCUCGCAGCCAGUUCACUUUCAAGACCUUUAAAUGAACGGAUGUCGCUCAGAACCACUCCUUGCGUUUGCACUGAUGUGUAUUUUAUCAGUGUGUUAUCUGUGUCUAUUACUCCAACCGACUCUUGUUUGAGGGGCGAUAGUUCUGCUUUGUUAUUCUCGCUAGAUCCUUCCUCUGUUGGACUUGAGGUUGGUAGCUCUGGUUCAAUGGAGAUCAGGUCCUUGGUCAACACCUCCAUGCCUGGGUUCUCUGCCUGAAUGCGUUGCUCUUUAUCUUGCGUAAUCGGGUUCAACCGGUGGUCAGGUGCUUCUGAAUACAUCAAUGUGAGGUCCUUGGCUUCCUUCCCCAGAUCUGCUUCCAAUGAGUCUGGUAGGAGAGGGUUUUCAUUGUUUGGCCGUGAAUCUCUUCCUUCUUUGAAACACUUUGAACCAGUUUGAACCAGUUUGAUUUCUAGGCCUUCCCCCUCAUCUCUUUUUGGAGCUUUGUCAACUUGAAGACCUUUUAACGUAGGGAUGUCGCCAGAAACCUCUCCUUGCAUUUGCACUGGUGUGUAUUUCAUCUGUAUGUUAUCUGUGUCCAUCACUCGACCCGACUCCUGUUUGAGGGCUGAUAGUUUUGCGUCGCUGUUCUCUCUAGCCCCUUCCUCUGUUGGACUUGACCUUAAUGACCCUGGUUCACCGGAGGUCGGAUCCUUGGUCAUCACCUCCUGAACUGGGUUCUCCACCUCACUCUGAACUUGUGGAUCUUUAUCUUUCUCCAUCGGGUCUAACCGGUAUUCUGGUGCUUCUGAAUACAUCAACGUGUGGUACUUCACUUCCAUCAGAUCUGCUUCCAAUGAGUCUGGUUGGAGAGAGUUUCCAUUGUUUGGCAGUGAAUCGCUUCCUUCUUUGACCUCUUGGUUGCGAUCCGCUUCAACACACUUCAGCCUCAAAGCACCGUCGUUACUCGUUCCAUGUUGUACACCGUCCACCUUUCUCCCUUUUCUCUGGAACUUGUCCUCUGCUGUGGUGUCACAGAGCGAUGACAUGUCAUUCGCAUUCAUGUGGCUUUGUGUUGAUUUUGUGUCACACGAUUCCUGUUUGAGGGGCGAGAGUUUUGCGUUGUUGUUCUCUCUAGCUCCUUCCUCUGUUGGACUUGAGGUUGAUGGCCUCAGUUCAGUGGAGAUCAGGUCCUUGGUCCACGCCUCCAUGCCUGGGUUCUCACUCUGAAUGCGUCGCUCUUUAUCUUGCGUAAUCGGUUCUAACCGGUGGUCAGGUGGUUGUGAAUACAACAAUGUGAGGUCCUUGGCUUCCAUCCCCAGAUCUGUUUCAAAUGAGUCUGCUUGGAGAGAGUUUUCAUUGUUUGGCGGUGAAUCUUCUUUAACCUCUUGGUUGAGAUCCACUUCAACACACUUAUGCCUCAAAGCACCGUCGUUACUCGUUCCAUGUUGUACACCGACCACCUUUUCCUCUUUUCGGUGGAACGUGCCGUUUGUUCUGGUGUCACAGUGUGCUGACAUGUCAUGGUCUAAAGGCUUCGCAUUCACGUGGCUUUGUGUUGAUUUUGUAUCACAGGCUCUCGACUCAUCCACCUCAAAUGCAUCCGUGUGCGGCGCUGCUUCUCCAUGCUGUGUUCCUUUGUGUUUCAAUGCCGUUCCGCUCUCUUUAUUUGGCCUGAAUCCCUCACAAUCCUUAUCACCUGCUUCCCUCUGGGAGCGUUCAGUAUUCACUGUGUCCCGUGGCCUAAAUAUCUCCUCCCCUGUAUAUCCUUUUCCUUCUGCGUCAGGCAUUGUGAGCCUCACUUCCUCCUCUCCUCCUCCACCUCCUCCUCCAUCACCUCCUCCUUCUCCACCACUACCUCCUCCUGCGCUUCCUCCUCGUCUGAAUGGGGACAACACCGAACCCGUGCGGCCCUUUGUCCCCUGUCCUUUGAAUGCCUCCCUAAAUGCCAGCGCGUCGUAUCCCGAGUUGCGUACGAUACCGCUAACCCCUUGUUCUUCCUCCCCUUCCCCACCGCUUUGAGAAAGACCCUCGCCGGGCACCGCUCCCCGUGAGAUCCUAUCACAGGCGCUGGCAUUCUGAGACACCGCCGCCACUGUCAUCUCUGUUGUCCCCCUCUCCCCAGAGCUCGUUAUCCUGUCGCCCGUAGAGUCUCUGAGCGGCUCUCUCACU